AGCGAACGCUGGCGGCAGGCCUAACACAUGCAAGUCGAACGAACCCCUCGGGGUUAGUGGCGGACGGGUGAGCAACACGUGGGAACGUGCCUUUAGGUUCGGAAUAACUCAGGGAAACUUGCGCUAAUACCGAAUGUGCCCUUCGGGGGAAAGAUUUAUCUCCUUAAGAGCGGCCCGCGGCGGAUUAGCUAGUUGGUGAGGUAAAGGCUCACCCAGGCUACGAUCAGUAGCUGGUCUGAGAGGGUGACCAGCCACAUUGGGACUGAGACACGACCCAAACUCCUACGGGAGGAAGCAGUGGGGAAUCUUGCGCAAUGGGCGAAUGCCUGACGCAGCCAUGCCGCGUGGAUGAUGAAGGUCUUAGGAUUGUAAAGUCCUUUCACCGGUGGAGAUAAUGGCUGUAGCCGGAAAAGAAGCCCCGGCUAACUUCAUGCCAACCGCUGCUGUAAUAC
rnacentral:rRNA from 1 species